rnacentral:lncRNA from 1 species
GGAGGUAGUGGUACUUCUAGAGCUGCUUGUGAGGAUGAGCCUUCUUCGAUUCUUUGUCCUCUUUUGUCCUUCAUUGCGGGAAUUAAUAUUCCCUCUUUACGUCAGUUGGUUUUUCCCACAUGAUAAAUUUCCAAUCUUCUAUCAGGCAAUUUGACAUUAGUGACCCCAACUGUAUAGCCAUUUUCUUCAUCGCUGCCAAUCAAAUGUGCAUUCAUCAUGAUCUUCAUCAUGAUUAGCUUGUAUAAACCAUCCAGGGAGCCAUUCAAUAUUUGGCUUCAAUCAUGAUGCUAUCAUAGUGAGAUAGCAAUCUAACUCGACAACUCCAGUUCUAGAUAUAGCUUCACGAAGCCAUCUUUUUCUCAUCAUAUAAGAGGGGUCAAUGACUUCCUUUUUCACAACUACACAAUAAAGCAAAUUCAUUUCUAGGUCAAUAAUCUUGGUCUCCUUCAUCCUCC